AACGAACGCUGGCGGCAGGCCUAACACAUGCAAGUCGAGCGCCCCGCAAGGGGAGCGGCGGACGGGUGAGUAACGCGUGGGAACGUACCCUUUGCUACGGAAUAGCCUCGGGAAACUGGGAGUAAUACCGUAUGUGCCCUUCGGGGGAAAGAUUUAUCGGCAAAGGAUCGGCCCGCGUUGGAUUAGGUAGUUGGUGGGGUAAUGGCCUACCAAGCCGACGAUCCAUAGCUGGUUUGAGAGGAUGAUCAGCCACACUGGGACUGAGACACGGCCCAGACUCCUACGGGAGGCAGCAGUGGGGAAUCUUAGACAAUGGGGGAAACCCUGAUCUAGCCAUGCCGCGUGAGUGAUGAAGGCCUUAGGGUUGUAAAGCUCUUUCAGCUGGGAAGAUAAUGACGGUACCAGCAGAAGAAGCCCCGGCUAACUCCGUGCCAGCCGCCGCUGUAA
rnacentral:rRNA from 1 species